GGCUGGUCCGAAGGUAGUGAGAUCUCACAACGAUUGCUUACAGUCAAUUACUGGUCGACCUUUUUGUCUCCCCCCCCCCCCCCCACUACUGCACUUGACUAGUCUUAA
rnacentral:Y_RNA from 1 species